ACACCCGGAUACCCGCAUUGACGAAACUUCUUUUUAUAGUAAAACAUCGCAUGUUUAUGUUAUGCGGGAGAGUUCCUUUGAAGGUUGUACUCGUUCGUCAACACUGGUGCUCCAAUUAGUGGCGUUAAGCAAAAUUAUGUUAGGCUACGAUAGUUUGUUACGACACUACCAAGCAUUCUACUUGUAUUGUUAUUGUUCUGAGACAGCACCCAGCAAACCUCGUAUUAUUACUUGCUUACCAUAAAACUAAAAGCAAAGCAUUUAUUUUUAUAAACGAGUAAACGAAACUGUCGUUUCGGCUAGCGCUCGCGUGUAGGAAUAAUGUGGGGGUAUUGUGUAAAGUUUUUAUUGAAAUUUAUAAUGAAGCCUUAAAGGUUUAUUAUUUUUUGAAUUGAACUUGGUUUUUAGAAUUAACGAAAGGAAUCACGAUUUAAACAAAUGGAAUAAUAAAUAAAUGGAAAACAUAUUAAAAGGGAGCUAACGCAUAGGUACCUUUUUGACGAAAUUUCAAAUGUUAAAAAAUUUAACAGAGGCAAUAAAUAAUAAUGAUUCUGAGAUCCUAAAUAUAUGUGAUGACCGCCUCACCUGUCCCUAGCACGCGGUAGGGACAGGUGAGACGGGCGCGGCCGUCGUCACUCACCUUCAUGCCGUCGAGUCCGGGCGGGCCCUGCGGAACAACCACACAUGUCAACCACUGCGCUGCCGAACAACUUAUCGCGACUCAUAUAUGCAAACAUGCACCGCAUACGUGCCAAUUGGAAACAUCAUCACGUCCAGCAGGGAAGGAUAUAGUUGCCUUUACACAAUUGAAGGUUGAAUGAGUAACAGGUACAUACGGUUUCGUGUCAUCGUCGUCAUGCAAGUGAUGCAGCGCCAUGAAAAGUUCCAGUCGCAGAGAGUGACUUCGGCGAGAACGAGCGGCGAAAAGGUCAGAACGAAGGGUUGAGUUCAAAGAGAAAGACUAAUAUGCACAGCAUGCAAAUAUUUAUUUUCAUUCAAAAUAAUUUGUAAACAACAAUAAUUUAUGCUCUCCUGACGUAUAUUAUUAUGGUACAAAUGACAACUUUCGAUUUUCAUAAAAAAAAUAAAUCCUUAACAGCAUAUUGAUUAGCAGCGAGACGUGACAUUACGGUUCGGUUUUUAUACUUAUUGUUUGGCCUUCGGGUUGAGCGGUAAGUAGGGUGGCGUAAGUAUAUAGGGAAAAAUAAAAUCAUAGAUAAAUGAUAUUAUGAACGAGUGGCCGCGUGGGAGCCGUGCUGCCGCGCUAUUUGCCGCUCAAAAUGGCGGCCGAACGCUUACGUUGCUCGCAUGUGGAGUGCGUUCAUAAAAAUAACGAAUUUUACUGUUAUGACGUGAUCAUAAUAAGUAUACAUCGUUCGAAGUCAGCUUUACAAACAAAAAUACUACAAUGUUCGCAUCAUUUUUUUAUUGGAAACUCAUGCAGUGGCGGACUAACGAGGAACGGAGGAGGCGGACCUCCUCGGAUUUCUGGUUCUAGGGGGUCUCCAAACGCCACCAUUUUCCUCAUCCAUAUCCAUAUUCUUUGCAUGUUUAUUUCAGUCUAAUUUUUAUUUCACUUGCAAGAUUUUAACUAAAUAAAUAUUAACAUUUAUACAUACAAAGCUAAACUGAAUAAAAAGCUUGUAAAAUUACUUGAAUUUCUUGUACUAAGGGUCUCAUUCGGAUUUGCCGCCUCUGAAUUCUAGACGUGUUUCGUCCGCCACUGAUGUCACAGUUUUAUCGUUGUUUAAAAGACAAAUGUAUCUUAUUUCGAAUUACUUAAAAUUAAAUAAAUUAAUUUCAAUUUGCUUCGCAUUUUAUAUUUUAAAACGUAUAUUUAAUAAGUUUGUUAAAAAUUUGUUGUUUGAUCCAAUAUUUUACUAGCAAUAGCUACUAGUUUAGUAUAAUUAUGGUCAAUGAACAAUGAAACAACGUUGUUCAGAACUUGUGUACACGGAUACAUUACUAAGCUUCGGUCUUGAUGCACUCGUGUAUUGCCUGUCAUGUGUUAUCAUCAUCAUCAUAUCAUAAUAUAUUGGUAUUUCGUUCUCUUUCCUAUAUGCCUGUAUUUCUUUAUCUCUAAGCAGUCUCCUUUAAAACGCCUGUUAAGCAUUAGUAAGUUUCCGUGUACAUUACAAAAUUAUAGAACUGUUUUAAAUGUAUUGUUAUAUUACAAACAAUGUUCAGUAAAAUGAUGCGAAAUAGUUAAAUCUUAUUUUUGUUAUGAUUAAUGUUGACAAUCACGACAUGAUUUAUUGAAUAUGAUGAUAAACAAAUGAAAUGGCCGUCUCAAGUUAACAAAAACAGUCGUUUCAUGUAGUAAAGUCGUGUAUUACUAAUGCCUGUAUGUUGUAUACUUUGAGUUAGUGGACAUACUACUUCAGAAGGACAAGUGAGAAUGUUGUAUUAGAACUGAGAAUAACAAUGGCAUGUCUCUUAAUUACAAAAAGAGGUCCCUCUUCACCGAUGCAGCUAGCGCGAUAUGUCUUCAGCGGUGAAGAGUUCGCGGUCUGUCCUAGCCUAAAAAUCGUCAAUAAUCUUUUGUACAUUUGUAAAGAGAUUCAUCUCCGCGAGCGCUCCGAGACAUCGGCGCUACGUCGAUUGCUAUUUGUAAAAAAUAGGUACAAUUUAGUCGUAAUAUUUAUAUUUAAGUGAUUAUUAUAAAUUGUGAGAAAAACUGAAAAAUAAUGACAGUGGAGUUACAUAUUACAUUUAUUCUAUAAUUUUCACUUUGUAAGUUAAAAUUUUAAAAGAGCGUAGGCUGUACAAGCGACGAGAAGAGUCGGAGCAACGAUGUCUCGUCGCGUUUCGAGCUUUCGAUAAUACGUAUGAUUAUUUUACAGUGUCGAGUCGACAGAUAAUUAUUAUAAUACAUCAAGAGAAUGAUCAAUAAGUAGUAAUCGAUGAUAAAAGGUCAAUACGCACGAGUCAACAUUAAUGUAGGUACAGUACAGGUAUAGGUAAUAUCUUUAAUACAUGAGGCGGGCGCGGUGCGGUGCGGCGGGGCACGCGUGGCACGCGUGGCGCCCCCUCGGGACGG